AGUGUGCUUUUGUGUGUGAUUCCUGAAACGCGUUCACGUUGCUGUUGGGUCCAGUUGGCCUGCGUGGAGACCACAAAAGAAAAAUAAUAAUACAAAUACUAAACCGAUAAUAAUACGAUUCGUGGCCAGAUAAUGCAAAUAGCGCCAAUCAAUGAUAAGUUAUCAGCCAGCAUUAAAGGCAAUGCCAUUCGCCUGGAACUAA